rnacentral:tRNA from 1 species
UGGAAUGUAAUUCAGUGGUAGAGGGCUUGCCUACUAUGUACAGACCCUGGGUUCAAUCCCAAGUAUACCAA